CCCCAAAGGCAUCCUCCACCCUGCACACUCCACCAUAUAACCUCCAGGAGUGUACUGCUGAAACACCUCAUUCCAGGCUGGAGUGGAUAUGUGGACUGGUUGUUCCAGGUCAAAAACUGCUUUUGCCUGACAACUCAAUCAUUGACUGGGUGUGGUCCAGAGGCAGUCGCGGCUGCUGUGACUGAACAUUGACUACAGGCCAGGCGUUCCAUUCUGGUUUUGUUUGGAG